AUAAAUUUUGUCAGAUGCAUGUUUUUGUCGUCUAUAGUUAACCUUGCAAACCCACCCUUCAAGUAUAAAAGCUAAAUCAUAGAACUAGGAAUGUUGAACUUGAUAUUAGAAGGCCAAACAAAAAAAUAAUAGCUCCAUUCUAGGUAUAACAUAUCCCAUAUCUUCUUUAUCAGCAAUAUAUGGUUGAACGUACUGAUAGGUUAGGACUAAUUGAGGAUGGGCACCU
rnacentral:lncRNA from 1 species